AGCAGCCGCGGUAAUUCCAGCUCCAAUAGCGUAUAUUAAAGUUGUUGCAGUUAAAAAGCUCGUAGUUGAAUUUCGGGGUCAAUAAGUUGGUCAUGCCAAUGGUAUGCACUGGCUUUAUUGAUUCCUACCUCUUGACGAACUGUGAUGCCAUUAAUUUGGUGUUGCAAGGAAUCAGGACUGUUACCUUGAAAAAAUUAGAGUGUUUAAAGCAAGCUUACGCUUGAAUACAUUAGCAUGGAAUAAUGAAAUAGGACGUUUGAUCCUAUUUUGUUGGUUUCUAGGAUCGACGUAAUGAUUAAUAGGGAUAGUUGGGGGCAUUAGUAUUCAAUUGUCAGAGGUGAAAUUCUUGGAUUUAUUGAAGACUAACUACUGCGAAAGCAUUUGCCAAGGAUGUUUUCAUUAAUCAAGAAUGAAAGUUAGGGGAUCGAAGACGAUCAGAUA
rnacentral:rRNA from 1 species